rnacentral:rRNA from 1 species
AACGCGAAGAACCUUACCUGGGUUUGACAUACACCGGAAACCUGCAGAGAUGUAGGCCCCCUUGUGGUCGGUGUACAGGUGGUGCAUGGCUGUCGUCAGCUCGUGUCGUGAGAUGUUGGGUUAAGUCCCGCAACGAGCGCAACCCUUAUCUUAUGUUGCCAGCGCGUAAUGGCGGGGACUCGUGAGAGACUGCCGGGGUCAACUCGGAGGAAGGUGGGGACGACGUCAAGUCAUCAUGCCCCUUAUGUCCAGGGCUUCACACAUGCUACAAUGGCCGGUACAGAGGGCUGCGAUACCGUGAGGUGGAGCGAAUCCCUUAAAGCCGGUCUCAGUUCGGAUGCGGGGUCUGCAACUCGAGCCCCGUGAAGUUGGAGUCGCGUAGUAA